rnacentral:lncRNA from 10 species
AGUCAUUCUUCUGGCAAACAUAUGUGGAAGGCCUCCGGGGUAGCACACCCUUCACCGUGCCCUGGAGAUGCUGGGAUGCGACAAAAAAGUAGGCUUCUCCCAUGAUGAACCUCACGGGUCCUUUCUCUGGCUGUGAUCCAUGCUUCUUCCCAGGGCAGGAUUACACUCUUUGAAUUUACUUAUUCAUCAAGACAGUGCAGAGUGGUGGAAAGAGAAGCAGCUGAGAGUUACGCAGUUGGAGGCAUCUGUCCACCCAUGUGGUUCCAGACACGUUCAUGUGGCCACCAUGACCCCGUCGGCAUCACAGGGGUAACCAAGAGAGCAGCAAGUUCCUGGGACAGAGGAGACAGAAGGGAAUUUCCAGGUUCUUCAGGACGUUCACAACCACACUGAGAAGCAUCUUUGCAGAUAAGUAUUUAAACUUACCAGCCCAUAGCCUACCAGCCUGCCCUCUUCUGGUCUGUGCAGGAAAGUGUAGUAUCCUAGAAUGCCAAAGUGGGAGGGGAAAUGGGUGAUGUAGCUCAUUCUCUUUUCUACCUCUAUGGAAGAAAGAAAGAGCCUGUCCCCAUUUUGUGGGGUCCCAGAAAGGGUGAUUUU